rnacentral:lncRNA from 1 species
UCUUUUUACUUUGGCAUAAUUUCAACUUGAUUGUUUUUGAUAUUUAUUUGAUGAUUUGAAACUUCUUGCCUUUUAUAGACUUCUUUGAGUUCUUUCCGUUGCAAAGUUCCCAUUAAGCAUUUAAUGCUCUGAUACUUGAGGAUCCUUGACGUUGACUUCUAGGGGUUGUUGUGUCAGCUUGCUGGCGGCUUCUUUGCCCUAUCAUAUC